CUUCCGCUAUCUUAAUAGCGGUAACUACCGCUAUCUUAGUAGCGGUAACUACCGCAAUUAAAAUAGCUGUAACGUCCGCUAUCAAGGUAGCUGUAACUUCCGCUAUUUUUGUCUAAUGCUCACGUUUGUUGUGUCCGCUAUCUUGAUAGCGGAAGUUACCGCUAUCUUGAUAGCGGAAGUUACAGCUAUCAAGAUAGCGGAAGUUACCGCUAUCAUGACUGCGGUAGUUACCGCUAUCUUGAUUGCGGAAG
rnacentral:pre_miRNA from 1 species